rnacentral:tRNA from 1 species
GUUCCUGUAGUUAAAGCAAUAUAACGGUGGCUUUUCAGGUCAUAUGUCUCGGAGAAAGGCCGAGUAGGAACU